AUACGUAGGGAGCGAGCGUUGUCCGGAAUUACUGGGUGUAAAGGGAGCGUAGGCGGGCGUGCAAGUCAGAUGUGAAAUACAUGGGCUCAACCCAUGGGCUGCAUUUGAAACUGCAUUUCUUGAGUGAAGUAGAGGUAAGCGGAAUUCCUGGUGUAGCGGUGAAAUGCGUAGAUAUCAGGAGGAACACCGGUGGCGAAGGCGGCUUACUGGGCUUUUACUGACGCUGAGGCUCGAAAGCGUGGGGAGCAAACAGGAUUAGAUACCCUGGUAGUCCACGCUGUAAACGAUGAUUACUAGGUGUGGGGGGACUGACCCCUUCCGUGCCGCAGUUAACACAAUAAGUAAUCCACCUGGGGAGUACGGCCGCAAGGUUGAAACUUAAAGGAAUCGACGGGG
rnacentral:rRNA from 1 species